UACAGAGGCCCCAAGCGUUACUGAGAAUCACUGGGUUUAAAGGGUGCGUAGGUGGCGCGUUAAGUCCGUUGUGAAAUCCCUGGGCUCAACCCAGGAAUUGCUUCGGAUACUGGCGUGCUUGAGGCCGGUAGGGGUCACUGGAACUGACGGUGGAGCGGCGAAAUGCGUAGAUAUCGUCAGGAACGCCGAUGGUGAAGACAGGUGACUGGGCCGGAACUGACACUGAGGCACGAAAGCGUGGGGAGCGAACGGG
rnacentral:rRNA from 1 species